AACGAACGCUGGCGGCAGGCCUAACACAUGCAAGUCGAGCGGACCUUUCGGGGUCAGCGGCGGACGGGUGAGUAACGCGUGGGAAUAUGCCCUUCUCUACGGAAUAGUCCUGGGAAACUGGGGGUAAUACCGUAUACGCCCUUUGGGGGAAAGAUUUAUCGGGGAAGGAUUAGCCCGCGUUGGAUUAGGUAGUUGGUGGGGUAAUGGCCUACCAAGCCGACGAUCCAUAGCUGGUUUGAGAGGAUGAUCAGCCACACUGGGACUGAGACACGGCCCAGACUACUACGGGAGGCAGCAGUGGGGAAUCUUAGAAAAUGGGGGCAACCCUGAUAUAGCCAUGCCGGGUGAGUGAUGAAGGCCGUAGGGUUGUAAAGCUCUUUCAGCUGGGAAGAUAAUGACGGUACCAGCAGAAGAAGCCCCGGCUAACUCCGUG
rnacentral:rRNA from 1 species